rnacentral:lncRNA from 1 species
GAACCAUUUCUAAAAUUGGAACCCAAAUCGUCCACCUCAUCCUCCAGUCUCUUGUCUUUUUGGAUUCCUUUCCUGAACAGUCCCCCUCUGUGCUUUGCUGGGUCCCUUUCCUUCUCUGACCUCAGUCAGUCACAGAGGGUGUCUUUCACAUCCCUUCCAGCCGUCUGUCCAGCCGGCCUCUUUCCUUCACCUGUUGCGCAGAGCCACAGCCAGGCUCGUUCAUCUGGGGCUUCUUGGCGCCUGUACCUGGGAUGCAGGGCGUGGUCCAGAAAGAUCGUCUCAUGUGGAGGGUCAGGCCGGCCCAACUGUCACGGCCUCCAAGCUCAGCUGGGCUUUAAAGACUGCCUUCCAGCCCUUGGCGCAGUUUCCCGUCCCGUUUUCCUAAGCCUUCUUGCCAGACUUUUACUUCCCUCAAACCUACUCCACCCCUUCUGCAGACACACCCACUCUCCUGGGCCUGACGACCUGCCUCCCAGUUCCCAGAGAAGACCUGCUGCCGCCACCUUCCCUGCCGUCAAGGUCAUUACCUCCCGCACGCACACGGCUCUCCCCCUCCCCGGGGGCUUCCCUCCUCGGCCUUCCUCUGGCCACUCUGCAUUUCCAGCUUCCCUCUCUCCACUGGCUCUUUUCUGCCACUCGCGAUGUUCAGGUUUGCGACAGCUCGCGUCUCUCUUCACGUGGCUUUGCUUCUCUGUCUGCGCUCGCUCGGCGCCCUGCGUCUUGGCUCCCGGGAGCCACCGCCCUCACACCUUCCUGCCCUCCCUGCCCACUCUGCAUUCUCGGCCGGUCCUUCAUCCUUGCUCUGGUGGCCCACACUCCCGGCUUCUUGGGCUUCUUCCCCGGCCUCCCUGCUGCUCUCUGCUCUUGGGCUGCUCUUGCGCUGCGUUGCCCCUAAGGCUUCUGUGCUUAGCCUUCGUCUUCUCCCCAGAUCUGCGUUCCGAGCAAACUCCCCCAAAGCAGUGUUUUUUGCUGCUCCUGCUAACACGCUCUGAGUUUCCUUUCCGGGCGCCUCUGCUGUGCUUCGGAACCUCAUAG